UACGUAGGAGGCAAGCGUUGUCCGGAAUUACUGGGCGUAAAGCGCGUGUAGGUGGUGGGACAAGUCUGCUGUGAAAGCCCCCGGCUCAACUGGGGAGGGUCAUUCGAUACUGAUCGACUCGAAGGCAGGAGAGGGUAGUGGAAUUCCCGGUGUAGUGGUGAAAUGCGUAGAUAUCGGGAGGAACACCAGUGGCGAAGGCGACUACCUGGCCUGUUCUUGACGCUGAGGCGCGAAAGCUAGGGGAGCAAACGGG
rnacentral:rRNA from 1 species